CCCGCUAUUGGAGCGGCCGAUGUCGGAUUAGCUAGUUGGUGAGGUAAAGGCUCACCAAGGCGACGAUCCGUAGCUGGUCUGAGAGGAUGAUCAGCCACACUGGGACUGAGACACGGCCCAGACUCCUACGGGAGGCAGCAGUGGGGAAUUUUGGACAAUGGGGGCAACCCUGAUCCAGCCAUUCCGCGUGAGUGAAGAAGGCCUUCGGGUUGUAAGACUCUUUCGGCAGGAACGAAACGGUGGGCUCUAACAUAGUCUGCUAAUGACGGUACCUGAAGAAGAAGCACCGGCUAACUACGUGCCAGCAGCCGCGGUAAUACGUAGGGUGCGAGCGUUAAUCGGAAUUACUGGGCGUAAAGCGUGCGCAGGCGGUUUUGUAAGACAGAUGUGAAAUCCCCGGGCUUAACCUGGGAACUGCGUUUGUGACUGCAAGACUCGAGUGUGGCAGAGGGGGGUGGAAUUCCACGUGUAGCAGUGAAAUGCGUAGAGAUGUGGAGGAACACCGAUGGCGAAGGCAGCCCCCUGGGUCAACACUGACGCUCAUGCACGAAAGCGUGGGUAGCAAACAGGAUUAGAU
rnacentral:rRNA from 1 species